GACGAACGCUGGCGGCGUGCUUAACACAUGCAAGUCGAACGGAAAGGCCUGCUUUCCCUUGUGGAUUGCGGGUACUCGAGUGGCGAACGGGUGAGUAACACGUGAGUGAUCUGCCCCCAACUUGGGUAUAAGCCUGGGAAACUGGGUCUAAUUCCCGAUAGGACUGCAGGGUGGUGCCUGUGGUGGAAAACGAUUUUCUAGUGGUUGGGGAUGAGCUCGCGGCCUAUCAGCUUGUUGGUGGGGUAAUGGCCUACCAAGGCGGCGACGGGUAGCCGGCCUGGGAGGGUGGACGGCCACAUUGGGACUGAGAUACGGCCCAGACUCCUACGGGGGGCAGCAGUGGGGAAUAUUGCACAAUGGGCGGAAGCCUGAUGCAGCGACGCCGCGUGGGGGAUGACGGCCUUCGGGUUGUAAACUCCUUUCGACCGCGAGGAAGCCACCUGGUUGGAAGGGUGGUGACGGUAGUGGUAGAAGAAGCACCGGCUAACUACGUG
rnacentral:rRNA from 1 species